CAGAAUACUGGGCGCAAGCGUUCGCAGCGUGUUCACUCUCCGAAUGCUAGAACACAAUUGAACAGGAUUUGAUGCUUUUUUUUGGUUGGCACCACGCUCCAAGCCCUUCCCCUCAGUGCGAAUUUUCAAAAAGCCCACGCAAAGCUCCCACUCUCACCCCUCGGUCCACGCGAGAUGCAGCGAUGAUGCGUGCGUGUCCUGCGCAGCACUCUCAGCGCGGCGUGAAGGUGCGAAAGAGACGACGCUAUGGAAGCAUGCAAAAAGCGCCCAGAGCUGGAAGCUUCCAAUGCUUUCGCUAUCGUCGUGGGCAAAACGCUAGGAUUGAAAACGAUCUAUUUGUAUGCAUAUUUCGAUAAAAGUGGGUAAUUCGCAUUUUACGUUCAUGUAAUUGCAGGCAUUACUAAACCGGGGAACAGUUUCUCGAUUCGACACAUCUGCACAGGCCUUGCUUUCGGACGCAGUGACAGCGAACGUCAGUGUUUUGCUGUGCGGUCGGUCGCUAGCUGGAGCAUUUGGAAGGUAAACAUUGGAAAGGAAAGUUUGGAUAAGCUGCAGUGAAGUUGUGCUUGUUUCGAUGGGAAAGAUGAGGCUGUCUGAGCGAAUGGUUCAAAAUAAUCUACUCCCGUACUCGAAGGUGCUGGUUUGCUCACACGACAACGGGUGAGAAUGUGAGACAACGAAACGAGCUUCUGACGGGGCAGCAGCCGUACAAAAGGAAAUAUCUCCAUCUCUCCGUUUGGGACAGUUGCUGCGCGAAAGGACGAAGGCUGUGAAGCAGCACAAUUCCACAACGGCCCGAACGGGUGGUCGUCCCGAGCGUUAUUUGUUUUAUUGACAGAAAACCUACCUCAGCGAAUGCCGAACAACAAUCUGCACCUGUACUCGAAAGUGCUGGUGGCUCACACGACAACGGGCGAGAAACGUCCCAUACCUGUGUGUCAACGGCUAGAGUGGGAAUAUCCGGUCACGCUGAACAUGUCCAGCUUAAGCUUCGGCACCGCUCCAAACGAUCAUCAAAGGAUAGUAAUGCUUCACUAGGCGCCAACGAUGAACCGGACGUGCCCGGAUGGCGCAACAAGAAAACGGAUAAAAUCCCCCCGAAAGCACC